GCCGGUUUAGCUUAGUGGUAGAGCGUUGCACUUGUAUCUUCCGGGUAUCCAAUGCAAAGGUCGGUUGUUCAAUCCAGCCAACCGGCA